rnacentral:rRNA from 1 species
CCUACGGGUGGCAGCAGUGGGGAAUAUUGCGCAAUGGGCGAAAGCCUGACGCAGCGACGCCGCGUGAGGGAUGAAGGUCUUCGGAUCGUAAACCUCUGUCAGCAGGGAAGAACGGUCACUGUGCUACUGAGCAGUGAAUUGACGGUACCUGCAAAGGAAGCACCGGCUAACUCCGUGCCAGCAGCCGCGGUAAGACGGAGGGUGCGAGCGUGAAUCGGAAUUACGGGGCGUAAAGCGCGCGUAGGCGGUAUGUCAAGUCAAGGGUGAAAUCACCGCGCUCAACGUGGGAACUGCCUUUGAAACUGGCAAACUGGAGUGUGUGAGAGGAUAGUGGAAUUCCAGGGGUAGGAGUGAAAUCCGUAGAUAUCUGGAGGAACAUCAGUGGCGAAGGCGACUAUCUGGCACAUAACUGACGCUGAGGAGCGAAAGCGUGGGUAGCAAACAGGAUUAGAUACCCUUGUAGUC